AGUGAACGCUGGCGGUAGGCCUAACACAUGCAAGUCGAACGGCAGCACAGUAAGAGCUUGCUCUUACGGGUGGCGGGUGGCGGACGGGUGAGGAAUACAUCGGAAUCUACUUUUUCGUGGGGGAUAACGUAGGGAAACUUACGCUAAUACCGCAUACGACCUACGGGUGAAAGCAGGGGAUCUUCGCACCUUGCGCGAUUGAAUGAGCCGAUUUCGGAUUAGCUAGUUGGCGGGGUAAAGGCCCACCAAGGCGACGAUCCGUAGCUGGUCUGAGAGGAUGAUCAGCCACACUGGAACUGAGACACGGUCCAGACUCCUACGGGAGGCAGCAGUGGGGAAUAUUGGACAAUGGGCGCAAGCCUGAUCCAGCCAUACCGCGUGGGUGAAGAAGGCCUUCGGUUUGUAAAGCCCUUUUGUUGGGAAAGAAAAGCAGCAGGUUAAUACGCCGCUGUUCUGACGGUACCCAAAGAAUAAGCACCGGCUAACUUCGUG
rnacentral:rRNA from 1 species